UACAGAGGGUGCAAGCGUUGUUCGGAAUUAUUGGGCGUAAAGGGAGUGUAGGCGGUGAGUUAAGUCUUCUGUGAAAGCUGCAGGCUUAGCCUGCAAAGUGCAGAGGAAACUGGCUGACUUGAGUGUCGGAGAGGAUAGGGGAAUACCCAGUGUAGAGGUGAAAUUCGUAGAGAUUGGGUGGAACACCAGUGGCGAAGGCGCCUGUCUGGCUGACAACUGACGCUGAGACUCGAAAGCAUGGGGAGCAAACAGG
rnacentral:rRNA from 1 species